rnacentral:rRNA from 1 species
CGAGCACGCGCGUGUGGCAUAUCAAUAAGCGGAGGAAAAGUCAAUACCUACGCUUAGGAUGUUGAAGAUGUAGGCACAUCAUACACGCAUGACACACUGCAUAUCAAUAAGCGGAGGAAAAGAAACUGACAAGGAUUCCCCUAGUAACGGCGAGUGAAGCGGGAAGAGCUCAAAUUUGAAAUCUUCAAGGGUUUCCCUUUACGAAUUGUAGUUUAAAGAAGUGUUUUCUGUUAGAGAGGUGGUAAAAGUUCUUUGGAAUAGGACAUCAUAGAGGGUGAGAAUCCCGUAUUUGAUCACUUCCUCCUAACGUUGUGAUACACUUUCAACGAGUCGGAUUGUUUGGGAAUGCAGUCCAAAAUGGGUGGUAAAUUUCAUCUAAAGCUAAAUAUUGGCGAGAGACCGAUAGCGAACAAGUACCGUGAGGGAAAGAUGAAAAGAACUUUGAAAAGAGAGUUAAACAGUACGUGAAAUUGUCAAAAGGGAAGCGUUUGACACCAGUGUUGUUUUUCCGAAAAUCAAUUACGAAUGUUUUGUUUUUGAGGAGUUAUGACUUCAUCGGCUUGCUCCUCUCUUUACGAAACUUUCUUAAUGCACUUUUCGGUUAACAAGUCAACAUCAAUUUCUUUUGUUGUAAAAGGGUAUGAGGAAGGUGGCUUUCUUUUCGGAGAAAGUGUUUAUAGCCUUGUGCCUCUGCAAUCGGAGAGAUUGAGGUCUGCAGCGUAGAUCCUUCGGGGUUAGAUACAUUUGUGCUAAGUUAUAGCUUUUCAUAGACAACUUGUUGACUAUGUUAAGUCUUGUAGCUUACUCGCUUAUGCUAUUUUACCUACGCUUAGGAUGUUGAAGAUGUAGCACAUCAU